rnacentral:rRNA from 1 species
CCUACGGGAAGCAGCAGUGGGGAAUCUUCCGCAAUGGGCGAAAGCCUGACGGAGCAACGCCGCGUGAGUGAAGAAGGCCUUCGGGUUGUAAAACUCUGUCUUCAGGGAAGAAAGAGAUGACGGUACCUGAGGAGGAAGCCACGGCUAACUACGUGCCAGCAGCCGCGGUAAUACGUAGGUGGCAAGCGUUGUCCGGAAUUACUGGGCGUAAAGAGCGCGUAGGCGGGGAUUUAAGUCAGGAGUGAAAACGGCGGGCUAAACCUGCAGCCUGCCGUUGAAACUGGAUUUCUUGAGGGUAUGAGAGGAAAGCGGAAUUCCCAGUGUAGCGGUAAAAUGCGUAGAUAUUGGGAGGAACACCAGUGGAGAGGGCGGCUUUCUGGCAUACACCUGACGCUGAGGCGCGAAAGCGUGGGGAGCGAACGGGAUUAGAUACCCCUGUAGU